GUAAGGAAUAUUGGACAAUGGACGCAAGUCUGAUCCAGCCAUGCCGCGUGAAGGAUUAAGGUCCUCUGGAUUGUAAACUUCUUUUAUAAGGGACGAAAAAAGGCUUUUCUAAGUCGUCUGACGGUACCUUAUGAAUAAGCACCUGCUAACUCCGUGCCAGCAGCCGCGGUAAUACGGAGGGUGCAAGCGUUAUCCGGAUUCACUGGGUUUAAAGGGUGCGUAGGCGGGCAGGUAAGUCAGUGGUGAAAUCCUAGAGCUUAACUCUAGAACUGCCAUUGAUACUAUCUGUCUUGAAUAUUGUGGAGGUAAGCGGAAUAUGUCAUGUAGCGGUGAAAUGCUUAGAUAUGACAUAGAACACCUAUUGCGAAGGCAGCUUACUACGCAUAUAUUGACGCUGAGGCACGAAAGCGUGGGGAUCAAACAGGAUUAGAUACCCCUGUAGUCC
rnacentral:rRNA from 1 species